UACGUAGGGUGCAAGCGUUGUCCGGAAUUAUUGGGCGUAAAGAGCUCGUAGGUGGUUUGCUGCGUCCGCUGUGAAAACCCAAGGCUUAACCUUGGGCUUGCAGUGGAUACGGGCAGACUAGAGGUAGGGAGGGGAGAAUGGAAUUCCCGGUGUAGCGGUGAAAUGCGCAGAUAUCGGGAGGAACACCGGUGGCGAAGGCGGUUCUCUGGGCCUUACCUGACACUGAGGAGCGAAAGCGUGGGGAGCGAACAGG
rnacentral:rRNA from 1 species